UGAAAGCUGGAGCCUCUGCACGGUCCAAGCAGGGAGGCGAUGGCUCGCGUCACAGUCCAAGCAGCCAGGCGACGGUCCUGGCUGACGGGCUCUGGACACAACGAGAAGUUGGCGUCUACACCCGGAAGAGGGCCCUCAUCAGGCCCCAACACGCCGGCACCCUCAUCUCAGACCUGUGGCCUCCAAAACAGUGAGAAAUCAACCCUGCUGUUGAUCAGCCACGCGUCUAUGGCAGCCAAACA
rnacentral:lncRNA from 10 species